AUUGAACGCUGGCGGCAGGCUUAACACAUGCAAGUCGAACGGUAACAUGAAGAAGCUUGCUUCUUUGAUGACGAGUGGCGGACGGGUGAGUAAUGCUUGGGAAUCUAGCUUAUGGAGGGGGAUAACUACGGGAAACUGUAGCUAAUACCGCGUAGAAUCGAGAGAUGAAAGUGUGGGACCUUCGGGCCACAUGCCAUAGGAUGAGCCCAAGUGGGAUUAGGUAGUUGGUGAGGUAAAGGCUCACCAAGCCGACGAUCUCUAGCUGGUCUGAGAGGAUGACCAGCCACACUGGGACUGAGACACGGCCCAGACUCCUACGGGAGGCAGCAGUGGGGAAUAUUGCGCAAUGGGGGCAACCCUGACGCAGCCAUGCCGCGUGAAUGAAGAAGGCCUUCGGGUUGUAAAGUUCUUUCGGUAGCGAGGAAGGCAUUUAGUUUAAUAGACUAAGUGAUUGACGUAACUACAGAA
rnacentral:rRNA from 1 species